AGUGAACGCUGGCGGUAUGCCUAACACAUGCAAGUCGAACGGCAGCACAGUAAGAGCUUGCUCUUACGGGUGGCGAGUGGCGGACGGGUGAGGAAGACAUCGGAAUCUACUUUUUCGUGGGGGAUAACGUCGGGAAACUUACGCUAAUACCGCAUACGACCUACGGGUGAAAGCAGGGGAUCUUCGGACCUUUCGCUAUUGAAUGAGCCGAUGUCGGAUUAGCUGGAUGGCGGGGUAAAGGCCCACCAAGGCGACGAUCCGUAGCUGGUCUGAGGGGAUGAUCAGCAACUGUGCAACGAGGACAGGGACACACCCACUAGGGGAGGCACAGGGGGGAAUUCUAGACGAAGGGGCGAAAGCGUAUACCGGACAAUGGGCGGGGGUCAGGAAGGCCUUCGCGUCGUAAGGGCUUUUUGUUGGAAAAGAAAAGAGCUAGGUUACUCCCCCGCUGUUUGAAAGGACCCAAAGAAUAAGCACCGGCUAACUUCGUG
rnacentral:rRNA from 1 species